GAUGAACGCUGGCGGCGUGCCUAAUACAUGCAAGUCGAGCGAACGGACGAGAAGCUUGCUUCUCUGAUGUUAGCGGCGGACGGGUGAGUAACACGUGGAUAACCUACCUAUAAGACUGGGAUAACUUCGGGAAACCGGAGCUAAUACCGGAUAAUAUUUUGAACCGCAUGGUUCAAAAGUGAAAGACGGUCUUGCUGUCACUUAUAGAUGGAUCCGCGCUGCAUUAGCUAGUUGGUAAGGUAACGGCUUACCAAGGCAACGAUGCAUAGCCGACCUGAGAGGGUGAUCGGCCACACUGGAACUGAGACACGGUCCAGACUCCUACGGGAGGCAGCAGUAGGGGAUCUUCCGCAAUGGGCGAUAGCCUGACGGAGCAACGCCGCGUGAGUGAUGAAGGUCUUCGGAUCGUAAAACUCUGUUAUUAGGGAAGAACAUAUGUGUAAGUAACUGUGCACAUCUUGACGGUACCUAAUCAGAAAGCCACGGCUAACUACGUG
rnacentral:rRNA from 1 species